UAGUAAUCGCAGAUCAGAAUGCUGCGGUGAAUGCGUUCCCGGGUCUUGUACACACCGCCCGUCACACCACGGGAGUUGGAGACGCCCGAAGCCGAUUAUCUAACCUUUUGGAAGAAGUCGUCGAAGGUGGAAUCAAUAACUGGGGUGAAGUCGUAACAAGGUAGCCGUAUCGGAAGGUGCGGCUGGAUCACCUCCUUUCUAAGGAGA
rnacentral:rRNA from 1 species